rnacentral:rRNA from 1 species
CCUACGGGUGGCAGCAGGGGGGAAUAUUGGGCAAUGGGCGCAAGCCUGACCCAGCAACGCCGGGAAGGAAGAAGGGGUUCGGGGUGGAAACGGCUUUUGUGAGGGACGAAGAAAGUGACGGGACCUCAGGAAUAAGCCACGGCUAACUACGUGCCAGCAGCCGCGGUAAUACGGAGGUGGCAAGCGUGAGCCGGAUUUAUUGGGUGGAAAGGGCGUGUAGGCGGGAAAGCAAGUCAGAGGUGAAAACUCAGGGCUCAACCCUGCGCCUGCAUUUGAAACUGUUUUUGUUGAGUGCUGGAGAGGCAAUCGGCAUUCCGUGUGUAGCGGUGCCAUGCGUAGAUAUCCGGAGGAACCCCAGUGGCGAAGGCGGAUUGCUGGACAGUAACUGCCGCUGAGGCGCGAAAGCGUGGGGAGCAAACAGGAUUAGCUACCCUUGUAGUC